GAGUUAGGAAAUGUAGAUUCGCUAAUAUCGUAUCUAUUUGACAAAGGCUCCAAAGGAAGCCACGGCUAACUCUGUGCCAGCAGCCGCGGUAAUACAGAGGUGGCAAGCGUUGUUCGGAAUUAUUGGGCGUAAAGAGCACGUAGGUGGAUUUGUAAGUCAGAUGUGAAAGCCUUCUGUUCAACGGAAGGAUUGCAUCUGAAACUACAAACCUUGAGUAUAGGAGGGGAGAGUGGAACUUCUGGU
rnacentral:rRNA from 1 species